rnacentral:rRNA from 1 species
CGGCUGAGGAAGACGGAAGGAACCUGCCCUUCAGAGGGGGAUAACUCCGCGAAAGCGGGGCUAAGACCGCGUACGCUCGUGCUGGGGAGAACGGCGCGAGGAAAGCCGCAAGGCGCUGAGGGAGGGGCUUCCGGCCCAUCAGGUAGUUGGUGAGGUAAGAGCCCACCAAGCCGAUGACGGGUCGCUGGUCUAAGAGGAUGAUCAGCCAGACUGGGACUGAGACACGGCCCAG